UACGGAGGGUGCAAACGUUGCUCGGAAUCAUUGGGCGUAAAGCGCACGUAGGCGGCCCGUUAAGUCGGAUGUGAAAGCCCUCGGCUCAACCGAGGAAGUGCAUCCGAAACUGGCGGGCUUGAGUACGGAAGAGGGUCUCGGAAUUCCCGGUGUAGAGGUGAAAUUCGUAGAUAUCGGGAGGAACACCAGUGGCGAAGGCGGAGACCUGGGUAGAUACUGACGCUGAGGUGCGAAAGCGUGGGGAGCAAACAGG
rnacentral:rRNA from 1 species